GAACAUUUUGGAAUCAUAUCAAUAAAAAUAGUUCUAACAAAUAAUAAGAUUAGGACUAAUUGAAAAUUAUGACGGUACUCACAAUUGAGUCUAAAUUUAAAAACAAAAUAGUCAAAUGUUAUUAAAUAUUCUAGUGUUUCUAAAAAUUAAAGUACUUCAUGACGAAGAUCCAUUGGUCCAAUUGCUUAUCCAUCCACCGCCGUCCAGCAUACUAAUUUUUACCUGAAAAUUUUAAAUAAAGAGGGAUGAGUAUAACGAAUUAUACUCAAUGAGAUGCUUGCUACUCCACAUUCAAAUCAAACGUGAAAU
rnacentral:lncRNA from 1 species